UGCUCCCCACCUUGAUGAUAAUGGACUGAACCUCUGAACCUACCACAACCCACAACAGUGACGCAUGCGGAUGAGGUGGCAGAGAAGCAUCUGCUUGGAGUCUGAACAAGAUGAGUAAACACCGAUGCCUGUGAGUCUCCGAAUCCCACGGCCCAGGGUGUGGCCUCUGUUGCCUUGGCCAAAGGUAACUCGCUUCAAUAAGGUCACGCCUCUCCUCUCACUUAGGAUGUCUUUGUUGUCAGACUUUCCUUGCCUACUCUCAACACCUGAGAGUGGUUCCCACCUCUCCAUCCCCAACUGCCUGUAUCCUGUUGCUUUCUGGGAUGUUCAAAGCCGUCAACCCAUCCUGUAUCUCUUUAGGGUUUGUUUGGAAGCAGGGUCUCAAACUAGGGAUCCUUCUGGCUCCCAGGUCUUCAGGACCGCAGGCAGGAGCUAAUGUAGACAUGACAUUGUAUUAUGUGCUGCUCGCUCCUAUCUUCUUUACCCACCACACUUUCUGCCAUAUUCAUAGGGUGUUAGGGAGCCUUUCGGCAACGAUCAGACAUUUCAGGGCUGCAACUGACCCAUGCCUUUGUGCUUGCUCAUUGCCUACUCCCUUGAGAAGUCCUGAGAGCUCCCGCGGAGCGCUGAUGCAGAGGUGCCUCAUUAGUCACUGGGAGCCAGUGGACCAGCUGGAACUGAAACCGGAGUCUUCAAGGAAAGCCUGGGUUUUCCCCUAGGCGCUCUGGGGUGCAGAGGAGGCCCACAGCACCUAGCGACCGCCUUAGCUUUCCAGCCCGCUGGGCAGGGACGCAUUUCUUCCUCAAGAGGGCGCCGGCUGCCUGCAUCUGAGCUGUUGGCAAUUGGGAUUCAGAGGAUGGGAGUGACCCUCUGGCCCAAGUGCAGGAUUUCAGAAGCAGCAGGGACAUUCCAACCACCCCGGGGACAUUCCAGCCACACCAAGACUGAGAUACCAGUUCCGUAGAUCCCAUAAGUUCCGUGUUUCUGGAAAGUCGGGAACUCUUUGCUUAACAUCUUUUCAGCCUCUGCGCGGUCGGCAUUUUGGACUUGGAAAGAUGAGGAGGGGUGCUUUCCGGAGCACAGCAGCCUCGCCCUGCACCGGGACAAGGAUGUGCCAGGACUCACCCCUCCUCCCCUUCAAUGCUAGGAUGGGUGGAGAGCCAUCUUCCAGUGAUGUAAGGGAGAGAUUCCUGGGGCCCCCACAACCUCGGAAGCCAAUCUGGAAGGCUAUUUCUGAGCACACCCCAGACCCAAGACAGAACUCAUGAAUGUUCUGCACAGGAUAUCACGAUUUCUGUCCUGUAAACUUUCCUUCCAGGGAUUUUUUUUUUUUUAAUUUGUUUUAUCAUCUCCAAAUGGUAAUCGUUUGUGAAUUACGUGGUGUUUAUCCUCCUGGCUAUAAACUCUAAACCAGUGCAGGGGAUCCAUCCCCCCACCCCCCUCUAAACCAGUGCUGGGGAUCCAUCCCCCCAUCCCCCAUCCCCGCCCCCUCCCCCACCCCCCACAGUCUGCAUAGCUCCUAUUUCUCAGGAGCCAUUUAUCUCCCUUUUAUUGUUUUCUUCAUUGGUUUCCCCCUCGGCCAGACAGGCUUAAUAACUGGCAGUCAUCACGCAGAUCGUAGCGGUGGCAGCCACCCCCGCAAAGGGACCCAGUCGUUUCCCAGAGCCAGAAUGCUCUGCAGUCCCAGCUUCUAUUGUUUUCUUAGCAGACUCCGGGUUUUGUUUCUUGGCUAUCCUUGAAUGAAGAAACUCUUAAAACAUCAUGUGUCUGCCUUGCUUUGUAUAGGAAAGAGCUGUAAACAGGAAGUCUACACCUCCCCCCCCCAAAAUAAAAGUGACCAGUCAAUUAGA